rnacentral:rRNA from 1 species
UACGUAGGUGGCAAGCGUUGCCCGGAUUUACUGGGCGUAAAGAGCGCGCAGGCGGUCAGAUAAGUCGAAUGUGAAAGCCCCCGGCUCAACUGGGGAGGGUCAUUCGAUACUGUUCGACUCGAAGGCAGGAGAGGGAAGUGGAAUUCCCGGUGUAGUGGUGAAAUGCGUAGAUAUCGGGAGGAACACCAGUGGCGAAGGCGACUUCCUGGCCUGUUCUUGACGCUGAGGCGCGAAAGCUAGGGGAGCAAACGGG